rnacentral:rRNA from 1 species
AACGAACGCUGGCGGCAUGCCUGACACAUGCGAGUCGAACGAGACCUUCGGGUCUAGUGGCGCACGGGUGCGUAACGCGUGGGAACCUGCCUUUAGGUUCGGAAUAACUCAGAGAAAUUUGAGCUAAUACCGGAUAAUGUCUUCGGACCAAAGAUUUAUCGCCUUCAGAUGGGCCCGCGUUGGAUUAGCUAGUUGGUGGGGUAAAGGCCUACCAAGGCGACGAUCCAUAGCUGGUCUGAGAGGAUGAUCAGCCACACUGGGACUGAGACACGGCCCAGACUCCUACGGGAGGCAGCAGUGGGGAAUAUUGGACAAUGGGCGAAAGCCUGAUCCAGCAAUGCCGCGUGAGUGAUGAAGGCCUUAGGGUUGUAAAGCUCUUUUACCCGAGAUGAUAAUGACAGUAUCGGGAGAAUAAGCUCCGGCUAACUCCGUGCCAGCCGCCGCGGUAA